rnacentral:rRNA from 1 species
AACGGGUGAAGUCAACACGUANAGAGUAACCUAGCCCGUANGACUCUAGGUGAUAACGCCUCGGGAAAGCUGGGUACUAAUACCGGAUAUGACCUAUCCACUACGUCAUGGUAGGUCUGGUGGAAAGCUUUUCGUGGUUUUGGGAUAGGACUCGCGGCCUAUCAGCUUGUAUGGUGAGGUAACUAGGCUAUACCAAGGCGACCGACGGGUAGCCGGCCUGAGAGGGUAGACCGGCCACACUGGGACUAGAGACACGGCCCAGCACUCCUACGGGAGGCAGCAGUGGGGAAUAUUGCACAAUGGGCGCAANCCUGAUGCAGCGACGCCGCGUGAGGGAUAGACGGCCUUCGGGUUGUAAACCUCUUCAGUAGGGAAGAAGCGAAAGUGACGGUACCUGCACAAAGAAGCCGCCGGACAAACUACGUCGCCAGCAGACGGGUAAUAACAGUAGGGCCGCAAAGCCGUUAUACCGGAAUUUAAUUUGGGCGUUAAAGUAGCUCGUAGUCGGUUUGGUCGCGUCUGGCCGUGANAAGUCCGGGGCUCNAACUCCGGAUCUCGGUGGGUACGGGCUAGACUAGAGUGAUGUAGGGGAGACGUGGAAUUCCUGGUGUAGCGGUGAAAUUGCGCAGAUAUCAGGAGGAACACCGAAUGGCGAAGGCAGGUCUCUGGGCUAUUAACUGACGCUGAGGAGCGAAAGCAUGGGGAGCGAACAGGAUUAGAUACCCUGGUAGUCCAUGCCGUAAACGUUGGGUCACUAGGUGUGGGGACAUUCCACGUUGUUCCGCGCCGUAGCUACGCAUUAAGUGACCCCGCCUGGGGAGUACGGCCGCAAGGCUAAUACUCAUAAGGAAUUGAGCGGGGGCCCGCACAAGCGGCGGAGCAUGCGGAUUAAUUCGAUGCAACGCGAAGAACCUUACCAAGGCUUUACAUGGGACCGGACCGCCGGCAGAAAUGUGGUUUCCCCUUUGGGUGCUGGUUUACAGGUGGUGCAUGGUUGUCGUCAGCUCGUGUCGUGAGAUGUUGGGUUAAGUCCCGCAACGAGCGCAACCCUCGUUCUAUGUUGCCAGCACGUGAUGGUGGGGACUCAUAGGAGACUGCCGGGGUCAACUCGGAGGAAGGUGGGGACGACGUCAAAUCAUCAUGCCCCUUAUGUCUUGGGCUUCACGCAUGCUACAAUGGCCGGUACAAAGGGUUGCGAUACUGUGAGGUGGAGCUAAUCCCAAAAAGCCGGUCUCAGUUCGGAUUGGGGUCUGCAACUCGACCGCCAUGAAGUCGGAGUCGCUAGUAAUCGCAGAUCAGCAACGCUGCGGUGAAUACGUUCCCGGGCCUUGUACACCCGCCCGUCAAGUCACGAAAGUUGGUAACACC